UGGGGAAUAUUGGACAAUGGGGGGAACCCUGAUCCAGCCAUGCCGCGUGUGUGAAGAAGGCCUUAUGGUUGUAAAGUACUUUAAGCGAGGAGGAGGGUACUGGUAUUAAUACUACCAGGUACUGGACGUUACUCGCAGAAUAAGCACCGGCUAACUCUGUGCCAGCAGCCGCGGUAAUACAGAGGGUGCGAGCGUUAAUCGGAUUUACUGGGCGUAAAGCGUGCGUAGGCGGCUAAUUGAGUCGGAUGUGAAAUCCCCGAGCUUAACUUGGGAAUUGCAUUCGAUACUGGUUAGCUAGAGUGUGGGAGAGGAUGGUAGAAUUCCAGGUGGAGCGGUGAAAUGCGUAGAGAACUGGAGGAAUUCCGAUGGCGAAGGCAGCCAUCUGGCCUAACACUGACGCUGAGGUACGAAAGCAUGGGGAGCAAACAGG
rnacentral:rRNA from 1 species